rnacentral:tRNA from 1 species
AGGGGCAUAGCCAAGCGGUAAGGCAACGGACUUUGACUCCGUUAUCCGGUGGUUCGACUCCACCUGCCCCUGCCA